GGGGUUGUGGCUUACUGGUAGAGCGCUUGCCUAGCAUGCAUGAGGCACUGGAUUUCAUCCUCAGCACCA
rnacentral:tRNA from 1 species